GAUGAACGCUGGCGGCGUGCCUAAUACAUGCAAGUCGAGCGAACAGACGAGGAGCUUGCUCCUCUGACGUUAGCGGCGGACGGGUGAGUAACACGUGGAUAACCUACCUAUAAGACUGGGAUAACUUCGGGAAACCGGAGCUAAUACCGGAUAAUAUAUUGAACCGCAUGGUUCAAUAGUGAAAGACGGUUUUGCUGUCACUUAUAGAUGGAUCCGCGCCGCAUUAGCUAGUUGGUAAGGUAACGGCUUACCAAGGCAACGAUGCGUAGCCGACCUGAGAGGGUGAUCGGCCACACUGGAACUGAGACACGGUCCAGACUCCUACGGGAGGCAGCAGUAGGGAAUCUUCGGCAAUGGGCGAAAGCCUGACGGAGCAACGCCGCGUGAGGGAUGAAGGUCUUCGGAUCGUAAAACUCUGUUAUUAGGGAAGAACAAAUGUGGAAGUAACUAUGCACGUCUUGACGGUACCUAAUCAGAAAGCCACGGCUAACUACGUG
rnacentral:rRNA from 1 species